rnacentral:lncRNA from 1 species
AGUGGUUAAGAGCGUUGUGUCAGGGUCACUGGUUUGAAUCCCCAAGCCAACUAGGUGAAACAUCUGCUGAUGUGCCCUUGGCCAAGGUUCUCCUCCAGCCUACAGUGGUCCUGAUGAGUUGGUGCCACCUCCCUGACCUGCUCCGCCAUUCGCUCCCCCCGACUAAGCAGCCAGUCUAUCAGCACCUGGAGCUUGGUCCCGGCAGCGACUAUUGCUAUGGCGCCCUGGGAAAAGCCCCUGAGCUCAUCCUGAGCCAACCGGAGUAGGCGAGGCAGAGACUUUUCUCCCUCAUCCACAGACCUCAGCGGAACCACAGAGAGAGAGAAGUCAUACCCCUUUAUCAUCACGGUUACCCUGUAGCUGUCCUCUGGAGCGAGAGAGAGAGAGAAAGAAAGAAAGAUUUAAAAAAGUUAUAUGGCUUUAUCUGUAGCAGGAGUGAGAGGGGUAAAAAGAGGACAGGAAGAAGUAUCUUUUCAAAAUAGAUGUUUAGCUCAACGAAACUAACCUGGUUAAAUGAAGGUUCAAUAAAAGAGAGAGAAAUAAAUAGAAAGGAAGGGCAUGGCUCUGUUAUGCCUGUGUGUGUGUGUGUGUGUGUGUGUGUGUGUGUGUGUGUGUGUGUGUGUGUGUGUGUGUGUGUGUGUGUGUGUGUGUGUGUGUGUGUGUGUCUCACUGUACUCCUCCUUGAUCUUCCUCACACACUCGGUCAGAGUCAGGGUGCUGUCAUUGUUACAGUUGUAAGUGCGGCGGAGAGAUAUGAUGCGUUCCUUCAUGACAUUAUAGCUCUCAUGCUGCUGGUUGAACGUUUCGGUCACAUCAGAGAACCGCUGGUCCAAGUCCUUCACACCCACACGCUUCGGGACCAACUGACCACUCCGACUCACUGAAACACACACACAAACACACAGUCAAUAACACACACAUACACACUUGUAAUAUGAUGGUAAUAUGUGUGAUUGAACCUGUGGGUGCUGGUCGAGGCUGUCUGGCCGACACUGGCUUCUCUGAUUCUGGAAGCUUGGGGUGCAGUAGGGGCUGUCUCUGUAACACACACGUUCCACUAUGUGUGAAUGAGGUAUCAGGCGGGUUAUACUAAUCCGAUCAAUGUCUAAUACUGUAACAACAUACCUAUUCUAUUCUGUAGUCCGUGUUUCACUCAGUUGGUAAUAUUGUGGCAUAACACUUCCUGAACCAGAAACAUGUAUGUUGUGUGUUGUCAUACAUGCAAUGACCUAUUGGCUUAACAUUAUAUGUUUUUAAACAAGCCUAUUUGAAAGUAGCCUGAGUGAUUAUAAUGUGCUUGUAUGUAUCUUAUUCCACAAAUGCCUCCCUCGGAUAAAAGAAUGUGGUUGUACUUGUUACUGUAAACACACCCAGACAAUAAAUCAUGUUUCUUUCCUGUUCCCAUAUACAGUACCUCGUCGGUGUCUUCAGAAGGAAAAACACAGCGGCAACAAAAUAGCACAGACAUUGCGGCUGAAAUAAAUGAUUUCGAGACCCGACAGUUAAUCCCCGCAAUCAAUCUCUCGUUAUUGUUAGUCACAGAAUUUAUUUUUCUCUCUCGUUUUCCAGGUCAAUCCACCACUGCCCUGCAUUCCUGGUGACGUCAUCUGUCAUGGGACUUGCGGGAAAGUUUUGUAGCUGUACUACAAUAGAUAGGACAGGUGCACCCAAUUUAUAUGCCGGAACUGUACAAAUGCAAUGCAUAGCCAUACGUUUUAGCUUUCAAUAGUAAACAACACAGACAUUUGACACGUCAGCUCCGUCUUUUUCGGUAGUGCAUUUCAGUGGUAUAAAGUACUUAAAGAAAAAUUCUUUAAAGUACUACUUAAGUAUUUUG